AUUGAACGCUGGCGGCAUGCCUUACACAUGCAAGUCGAACGGUAACAGGUCUUCGGAUGCUGACGAGUGGCGAACGGGUGAGUAAUACAUCGGAACGUGCCUAGUAGUGGGGGGUAACUACUCGAAAGAGUGGCUAAUACCGCAUGAGAUCUACGGAUGAAAGCAGGGGAUCGCAAGACCUUGUGCUACUAGAGCGGCCGAUGGCAGAUUAGGUAGUUGGUGGGAUAAAAGCUUACCAAGCCGACGAUCUGUAGCUGGUCUGAGAGGACGAUCAGCCAGACUGGGACUGAGACACGGCCCAGGCUGCUACGGGAGGCAGCAGUGGGGAAUUUUGGACAAUGGGCGCAAGCCUGAUCCAGCAAUGCCGCGUGCAGGAUGAAGGCCUUCGGGUUGUAAACUGCUUUUGUACGGAACGAAAAGCCCUGGGUUAAUACCCUGGGGUCAUGACGGUACCGUAAGAAUAAGCACCGGCUAACUACGUGCCAGCCGCCGCAGUAACAC
rnacentral:rRNA from 1 species